rnacentral:lncRNA from 1 species
UCCCUAAGCAGCUGCACGGCUCCACCCAUCAUAUCUCUUUAGGCCUGCGGGAAGUUCUGGAAUUUCUGCCAACUUUGGCCCCAUUUUCACAUUUAUUGACAAGGGACAAAAGCGUGCAUCGAGUCAGAAGAGGAGCCUAGCACGCUCACCCAGCAGCAGAGCCCCACCACCUCCAGAGCCCUAGAAGCUACCCUCGGGUGUCUUUGGCCUCAUGGAUAGGGCAGCACCUCCUGGUCAAUGGGACAG